rnacentral:lncRNA from 1 species
UGGGCUUUCUCAUCUGUCUAGUUUUCAUUUUAACAUAUGGGUUCCCAGUGUCACUGUUCCUGUCUUAUCUGAAGGAUUUGUGCAGUGAAAUCAAAUUCUCAUCUUCAGUUUUCUUGCUUCUCUGUCAUUUCGAUUAACAAGAAAGCGAAUGCUUUAUUCAGUGUUUUUUGUGGGGGGAAGAAGUUAACCAAGCAAGUUAGGCU